GUAAAAGAGAUAAUAGAUUUGAGAUGUCAACACAUUUUAGAUCAAUCCACUGAAACGAAAUCAUAUUAUUUUUGGAUAUUCACAUGGAUAUUUUUAGACGAAAAAAGACAAAAAUAGCACUAAAUCAAGUUUUUGUUCCCAAACUAGCACUCAAGGUCAAAAGUCAUAAAAAUAGGACUUAAUGUUUUAUCAAAAGUAACAAAUUUAGGGUUUGGAGUUAAAGGAUGGGGUUUAGAAUUUAGGGUUUAGGGUUUAGGGUUUAGAGUUUAGGGUUUAGAGUUUAGAGUUUAGGGUUUAGGGUUUAGGGUUUAGGGUUUAGAGUUUAGAGUUUAGAGUUUAGGGUUUAGAGUUUAGGGUUUAGGGAUUAGGGUUUAGGGUUUAGAAUUUAGGGUUUAGAGUUUAGGGUUUAGGGUUUAGAGUUGAGAAAUGAGG
rnacentral:lncRNA from 1 species